rnacentral:rRNA from 1 species
GCUCAGGAUGAACGCUGGCGGCGUGCUUAACACAUGCAAGUCGAACGGGAUCCCUGGCAGCUUGCUGCCGGGGUGAGAGUGGCGAACGGGUGAGUAAUGCGUGACCGACCUGCCCCAUGCACCGGAAUAGCUCCUGGAAACGGGUGGUAAUGCCGGAUGUUCCACAUGAGCGCAUGCGAGUGUGGGAAAGGCUUUUUGCGGCAUGGGAUGGGGUCGCGUCCUAUCAGCUUGUUGGUGGGGUAACGGCCUACCAAGGCGUUGACGGGUAGCCGGCCUGAGAGGGCGACCGGCCACAUUGGGACUGAGAUACGGCCCAGACUCCUACGGGAGGCAGCAGUGGGGAAUAUUGCACAAUGGGCGCAAGCCUGAUGCAGCGACGCCGCGUGCGGGAUGGAGGCCUUCGGGUUGUAAACCGCUUUUGUUCAAGGGCAAGGCACGGUCUUUGGCCGUGUUGAGUGGAUUGUUCGAAUAAGCACCGGCUAACUACGUGCCAGCAGCCGCGGUAAUACGUAGGGUGCAAGCGUUAUCCGGAUUUAUUGGGCGUAAAGGGCUCGUAGGCGGUUCGUCGCGUCCGGUGUGAAAGUCCAUCGCUUAACGGUGGAUCCGCGCCGGGUACGGGCGGGCUUGAGUGCGGUAGGGGAGACUGGAAUUCCCGGUGUAACGGUGGAAUGUGUAGAUAUCGGGAAGAACACCAAUGGCGAAGGCAGGUCUCUGGGCCGUUACUGACGCUGAGGAGCGAAAGCGUGGGGAGCGAACAGGAUUAGAUACCCUGGUAGUCCACGCCGUAAACGGUGGAUGCUGGAUGUGGGGCC